AAUCAAGCGCAGAAGGGCAUUCAGUGGAUGCCUUGGCAUUGAGAGGCGAAGAAGGACGUAGUACGCUGCGAAAAGCUGUGGGGAGACGCGAACAGUCUAUGAUCCACAGAUAUCCGAAUGGGGAAACCCACCGUAAGUACGGUAUCUUAAACUGAAUACAUAGGUUUGAGAGGCGAACCUGGGGAACUGAAACAUCUAAGUACCCAGAGGAAAGGACAUCAAACGAGACUCCGUUAGUAGUGGUGAGCGAACGCGGACCAGGCCAGUAGUU
rnacentral:rRNA from 1 species